rnacentral:rRNA from 1 species
UACAGAGGAGCCAAGCGUUGUCCGGAUUGACUGGGCGUAAAGCGCACGCAGGCGGUUGCGCGCGUGGGGUGUGAAAUCUGGCCGCUUAACGGCCAGGCGCCAUCCCAUACGGCGCGACUGGAGUGAUGCAGAGGUCGAUGGAAUUGCCGGUGUAGUGGUGAAAUGCGCAGAUAUCAGGAGGAACACCGGUGGCGAAGGCGGGUCUCUGGGCCGUAACUGACGCUGAGGAGCGAAAGCGUGGGGAGCGAACAGG